GAAUUUUUGCCGAAUCCGAAUUAACUAACUAUGGUACCGGUACACUUUUCCGUGUACCGAUACACAAUGCAGUUCGCAGACUGCAUGUUUCUGAUGGGUGUUUUUGCAAUUGUAGCUUAUCUAUAAACACCCCCACAGCCCUUGAAGGCUCUUUUGAGCCCUAGAACGUGGAGGAUCUGAGCUUUGAAGUUUUUGUUGGAGCUCAUUUGGAGGGAAAAUUUCAACCCUAGCUCACUUGCGAACUUGAUUUGGAGCUCUAGAGAGGUUGGAUUUGAGAGCCUCUACCUCCCAUUUGGAGAUCGAGAGAGGUUUUCUUCACAUUAGGUGCUAGGAGAGUAGCGGACACCUUCGUCGGCUCGAACGAAGGGCGGCUAAGAGUUUCGGUUGUUUUGGCUUCAUUGGAAUGGGAGAAUUCUUCUCUUAUGUCGUUAAUAAUUGUCGUAUCAUUGAAAUACAUGCAUAUUCAUGCUAGAUAUAAUUUUUAUGAAUUUUAGAAUACUUAAAAUGCAUGUGCAAUAUUUCAUGAAAAAUCGACUCUAUGUAGUAGAGGGCUAUGUGUAUUACUCAUGCAUAUAAAUAGUAUUCUUUCUUAUAAGUUGAAAAUAUAUCUCAUGUGAUGAAAAUGACUAGAAUUAUGUACUAUUGGACACAAAACUCAUGUUUGGACAUAGUGGACAAAAGUGCCAUAAAGGAGCACUCAACCUAGUAAACGGUUAAACUGCAACAUGAUAACUUAGUAAUAGGCCAUUGAGACAUCGACUAUAUUUCAUAUUUUAGACAUGAUGACAUUGGACUUGAGACGAACUUUUACGCUUGCUUGCCAUUGUGCUCAUUCGCAUAUGCUUGUGAGGGUCGCUUCCCACAAGCCGGCACUCCGGAGAUAGUCAUUGCAACACAUGCUCGCCCGUACGGGAUUGGGCGCCGAAAUGGGAUGCCGUGGGGGAGGUUCAUUCCUAAAGUGGGGAUGUUGACUACCACGGGACCAUUAGACACGGCGCGAGCCGGACUACCCACGAGUAGGUCCUAUGUGACUUGGAACAAGUGGAACCAAAAUGUAAAUGGACAACUAGACAAUCUAGUAAACAAUGACAUUUUACUAUUUACAUUGUGGACAUUAUGUUGAUUAUACUCAUACAUAUUCAUGUUAGAAUAGCAUUCAUACUUAUACAAAAUCAUGCUAAGUGGUGAUAUAAUGAUUUAGCAAGUUAUUCAUGUUUAAAUAUUUAUUGUUCAUUUCGCUUAUAUACUUGCACUUACUUCCUUUAGCUUUUGGGCCUAGUGGUGCAUUUCACUGAAAUCAGUAAUUGCCCACUGUGAACUAUUAUUUAAUAGUUCUCACGCCCCAAUUUUGUGGUUUUCUUUCAGAGCCUUCUAGACCGGUGGAGUCACGGGAUCGCGGCAAGGGGAUCGCUAGCUAGACAGCGAGGAGGUUAUUUUUUGCUUUAGGUGGUUCUCCAUCUUUUGUGUUUUGUUAGGGAGGGUGAGAGAGCUUGUAUCCAUAUAUAGAGACCACCAUGUUCUUAUGUUUAGCACUUGUAUUUGGAUCCCUUUUGUACUACUUCAUGGUUUACUCUUAGUAGAUUUUAGCGCUUUUAUA